UCAUGACAUCUUUCCUAUUCCAGUCACAACAGUAGCUUCAGAAUCAGCAUUCUCUACUAGUGGUAGAAUUCUUAGCCCUCAUCGCAGUAGGCUUGCACCAAAGUGUGUUGAAGCUAUAAUGUGUAUGCAAGCUUGGUGCAAUGCUGACAUGCUUGGGGACAACAACUCAUCACUCUCUACAACGUUUCAGACUUGCCUUGAUGAGGAGGAUGAACCAAUGGAUGAAGAACUGUCAACUUGCAACAACUACUAGGCUGGAGAUGACUUGAAGAUUAACAAGCUAGAGAUGUGGGAUGUCCGGCUGUGUGCUUCAACUCAGCCAAUCUGAUUACCUUGCUUUUUAAUUGUUACAAGAACUGGA